rnacentral:rRNA from 1 species
GAUGAACGCUGGCGGUAUGCUUAACACAUGCAAGUCGAACGGGAUUCUUCGGAAUCUAGUGGCGGACGGGUGAGUAACGCGUGAGAAUCUGCCUUCAGGUCGGGGACAACAUUUGGAAACGAAUGCUAAUACCCGAUGUGCCGCGAGGCGAAAGGUUAACUGCCUGAAGAUGAGCUCGCGUCCGAUUAGCUAGUUGGUGGUGUAAAGGACUACCAAGGCGACGAUCGGUAGCUGGUUUGAGAGGACAAUCAGCCACACUGGGACUGAGACACGGCCCAGACUCCUACGGGAGGCAGCAGUGGGGAAUUUUCCGCAAUGGGCGAAAGCCUGACGGAGCAAUACCGCGUGAGGGAGGAAGGCUCUUGGGGUUGUAAACCUCUUUUCUCAGGGAAGAACAGAAUGACGGUACCUGAGGAAUAAGCAUCGGCUAACUCCGUGCCAGCAGCCGCGGUAAU